rnacentral:rRNA from 1 species
UACGAAGGGGGCUAGCGUUGUUCGGAAUUACUGGGCGUAAAGCGCACGUAGGCGGACUACUAAGUCAGGGGUGAAAUCCCGGGGCUCAACCCCGGAACUGCCUUUGAUACUGAUAGUCUCGAGUCCGGAAGAGGUGAGUGGAAUUCCUAGUGUAGAGGUGAAAUUCGUAGAUAUUAGGAAGAACACCAGUGGCGAAGGCGGCUCACUGGUCCGGUACUGACGCUGAGGUGCGAAAGCGUGGGGAGCAAACAGG